AGUGAAAGUAAACUAAGGUUUAAGUUGUCUGGCUCAUAAUCAGAUCAUGAAUUUAUAAUUCCUUUCGCUG
rnacentral:tRNA from 1 species